AUUGAACGCUGGCGGCAGGCCUAACACAUGCAAGUCGAGCGGAGCGGCGGACGGGUGAGUAAUGCCUAGGAAUCUGCCUGGUAGUGGUGGAUAACGUCCGGAAACGGGCGCUAAUACCGCCUACUCUCAGCUGAGCCUAGGUCGGCUUAGCUAGGUGGUGGGGUAAAGGACUACCAAGGCGACGAUCCGUAACUGGUCUGCGAGGAGGAUCAGUCACACGGGAACUGAGACACGGUCCAGACUCCUACGGGAGGCAGCAGUGGGGAAGAUUGGACAAUGGGCGAAAGCCUGAUCCAGCCAUGCCGCGUGUGUGAAGAAGGUCUUCGGAUUGUAAAGCACUUUAAGUUGUGAGGCGUUACCAAAAGAAUAAGCACCGGCUAACUUCGUGCCAGCAGCCGCGGUAAUUC
rnacentral:rRNA from 1 species